rnacentral:rRNA from 1 species
ACUGUGAAACUGCGAAUGGCUCAUUAAAUCAGUUAUGGUUUCUUUGAUGGUACCUUGCUACUUGGAUACCCGUAGUAAUUCUAGAGCUAAUACAUGCAGGACUGCCCGACUUCGGAAGGGCUGUAUUUAUUAGAUAAGAAACCAUCUCGGGUCCGCCCGGUUGUGUGCUGAGUCAUAAUAACUGCUCGAAUCGCACGGCUCUACGCCGGCGAUGGUUCAUUCAAAUUUCUGCCCUAUCAGCUUUCGAUGGUAGGAUAGAGGCCUACCAUGGCGUUAACGGGUAACGGAGAAUUAGGGUUCGAUUCCGGAGAGGGAGCCUGGGAAAUGGCUACCACAUCCAAGGAAGGCAGCAGGCGCGUAAAUUGCCCGAAUCCUGACACAGGGAGGUAGUGACAAGAAAUAACAAUACAGGGCUACUUCUAGUCUUGUAAUUGGAAUGAGUACAACUUACAUCUCUUCACGAGGAUCAAUUGGAGGGCAAGUCUGGUGCCAGCAGCCGCGGUAAUUCCAGCUCCAAUAGCGUAUAUUAAAGUUGUUGCAGUUAAAAAGCUCGUAGUCGGAUUUCGGGUCGGGCCGAGCGGUCUGCCGAUGGGUAUGCACUGUUUGGCGCGGCCUUCUUUCCGGAGACCGCGGCUACUCUUAACUGAGCGGGCGUGGGAGACGGAUCGUUUACUUUGAAAAAAUCAGAGUGUUUCUAGCANGCAGCUCGCUCUUGCAUAGGUUAGCAUGGGAUAAUUUAAUAGGACUCUGGUGCUAUUUUGUUGGUUUCGAACACCGGAGUAAUGAUUAAAAG